AGCUAUUGAGGUAGAAAAGGUUCUCUACACGCAACUUCGGUUGUUAUCAGAGAUGAGGGGUUGACCGUCCUUCCAAUAGCA
rnacentral:ncRNA from 1 species